AAAGCUAGCCCAAUCAUCUACAAACGCAAUUAACAUCAGAAAGUAAAAUAAAACAUUUAGUUGCCCCAUAAAAGUAUAGGAGAUAGAAAUUUAACUUGGCGCUAUAGAGAAAGUACCGCAAGGGAAAGAUGAAAGAAAAAACUAAAAGCACUAUACAGCAAAGAUUACCCCUUGUACCUUUUGCAUAAUGAAUUAGCUAGAACAACCUAACAAAGAGAACUUCAGCUAGGCCCCCCGAAACCAGACGAGCUACCCAUGAACAAUCUAUUACAGGAUGAACUCAUCUAUGUCGCAAAAUAGUGAGAAGAUUUGUGGGUAGAGGUGAAAAGCCUAACGAGCCUGGUGAUAGCUGGUUGCCCAGAACAGAAUCUUAGUUCAACUUUAAACUUACCUCAAAACCCUGAAAUUCCAAUGUAAGUUUAAAAUAUAGUCUAAAAAGGUACAGCUUUUUAGAAUUAGGAUACAGCCUUAAUUAGAGAGUAAGCAUAAACACAAACCAUAGUUGGCCUAAAAGCAGCCACCAAUUAAGAAAGCGUUCAAGCUCAACAAUCAGAACAUCUCAAUGUCAAAAAACGCAACCAACUCCUAAUUUAAAACUGGGCUAAUCUAUUUAAUAAUAGAAGCAAUAAUGCUAAUAUGAGUAACAAGAAAUAUUUCUCCCGUGCAUAAGCUUAUAUCAGAACGGAUAACCACUGAUAGUUAACAACAAGAUAAAUACAACCUAACUACAAGCAAACAUAUCAAGCUAAUUGUUAACCCAACACAGGCAUGCAACUCAAGGAAAGAUUAAAAGAAGUAAAAGGAACUCGGCAAA
rnacentral:rRNA from 1 species